rnacentral:misc_RNA from 1 species
GAAAAGGAGAGGCUGUAAUGUGACUCUUUGCCUUGGAGAGAGACGAAAACCAAACCCUAGAUUUUUCAGUCCCCAGUAGCAAUUUUGUUCAUUUUUAUUCACCCAAAUUUCAGAUCCAACCACAUACUUCACCCCCAACAAUCUUUCCUCCCUUCUUUUCUUUUGCCGCUGAUCUUGCCUAAUUAUAGACAUUCAAGAAGGAGGAAACCCGUCCAGUGUUCUGUGAAUAGUCUCUUGAGAUUCUUUGUGAAGCUUUUUUGAGUCGGAUUUUUAUUUAUUAGGCCAUUAAAGAUGAUGUCCAAAUCGUAUACUAAU